GUGGGGAAUUUUGGACAAUGGGUGCAAGCCUGAUCCAGCAAUGCCGCGUGCAGGAAGAAGGCCUUCGGGUUGUAAACUGCUUUUGUACGGAACGAAACGGUCCUGGCUAAUAUCCGGGGCUAAUGACGGUACCGUAAGAAUAAGCACCGGCUAACUACGUGCCAGCAGCCGCGGUAAUACGUAGGGUGCGAGCGUUAAUCGGAAUUACUGGGCGUAAAGCGUGCGCAGGCGGUGCUGUAAGACAGGCGUGAAAUCCCCGGGCUCAACCUGGGAAUUGCGCUUGUGACUGCAGUGCUGGAGUGCGGCAGAGGGGGAUGGAAUUCCGCGUGUAGCAGUGAAAUGCGUAGAUAUGCGGAGGAACACCGAUGGCGAAGGCAAUCCCCUGGGCCUGCACUGACGCUCAUGCACGAAAGCGUGGGGAGCAAACAGGAUUAGAUACCCUGGUAGUCC
rnacentral:rRNA from 1 species